rnacentral:rRNA from 1 species
AUUGAACGCUGGCGGCAGGCCUAACACAUGCAAGUCGAGCGAGCGGCGGACGGGUGAGUAAUGUAUGGGGACUGCCCGAUAGAGGGGGAUAACUACUGGAAACGGUGGCUAAUACCGCAUACUAUCGGAUAACCCAUAUGGGGUUAGCUAGGAGGGGGGGUAAAGGCUCACCUAGGCGACGAUCUCUAGCUGGUCUGAGAGGAGGAUCAGCCACACUGGAGAGUGUACACGGCCCAGACGCCUGCGGAGGCAGCAGUGGGGAAUAUUGCACAAUGGGCGCAAGCCUGAUGCAGCCAUGCCGAUUGUAUGAAGAAGGCCUUAGGGUUGUAAAGUACUUUCAGCGUGGAGGCGUUACCCGCAGAAGAAGCACCGGCUAACUCCGUGCCAGCCGCCGCGGUAAUUC